AUGGCAGCUAUUCUGAAGUUAUACGUGGGAGAUAGCCGCGGGUUUGGCAAGCUAAAUAAGGCACUGAUCACCCUGAUUCCUAAACGGGCGAAUGCUGAUUCGGUAGGGGAUUUUCGCCCGAUUAGCCUGACCCACAGCUUCGCAAAGCUGUUCGCUAAGGCGCUGGCCAUGAGGGCAAGGAGACGCAUGAAGGAGAUUGUCCAGGCAAACCAGUCGGCCUUCAUUGCGGGAAGAUGCUUGCACGAUAAUUUUCUCCUUGUAAGACAGAUCGCUAGGAAAUUACACGCGAGGAAGACGCCAGGAGUGUUCCUGAAACUUGACAUCACGAGGGUGUUUGAUUCUCUGUCAUGGCCGUUCCUGUUCCAAGUUAUGAGAAAAAAAGGCUUUGGGGAUGCCUGGAUCAGGUGGGUGGCCAUCUUGCUUCAGACUGCUAGUACUAAGGUGGUAGUGAAUGGAUGUCUGGGACAGAGCUUUGUUCACGCUUGCGGUCUUCGCCAAGGGGACCUGGUCUCUCCACUCCUAUUCGUCAUUGCCAUGGAACCCCUAACAGCGUUGUUCAGGAAAGGAGCUGAGGAAGGAGUCGUUAGCAAACUAAAUGGGAUCUCUCCAACACAAAGGCUAUCCAUUUACGCGGAUGAUGUUGCGUUGUUCAUCAAGCCGACGGAGAUGGACUUGAUCUUUGUCAAGCAGGCGCUGGCAAGCUUUGGUGAGGCCUCUGGAUUGGAAGUCAACUACAAUAAAUCCAAGGUUGAUUCGAGGCUCGGUGGAGGACCAGCAGAGAGUUGUCGCACACUUGCAGUGUGA
rnacentral:rRNA from 1 species